AGGACGAACGCUGGCGGCGUGCUUAACACAUGCAAGUCGAGGGCGGUGGCAAUACCGACCGGCGAACGGGUGCGUAACACGUGAGCAACCUACCGAGAUGUGGGGGAUAGCCGGCCCAACGGCCGGGUAAUACCGCAUACGCUCUUUCCACGGCAUUGUGGAUUGAGGAAACCUCCGGGGCAUUUCGAGGGGCUCGCGGCCUAUCAGCUAGUUGGCGGGGUAACGGCCCACCAAGGCAUCGACGGGUAGCUGGU
rnacentral:rRNA from 1 species